UCUCUAUGUGUUGUUGUGUGCAUUUGUGCGUGUGAGCGACCGUUUGACGGUUUGAUUUGAAUUUCGGGAAUCCUCAUACAAAGAUGCUGAUGCCGAUCGGAAAAGAAGCUCAAGCAAAGCACAACGAAAAGCGAGCAAAGCGCAUUGCCCGAUAAGUAAACUGAGCUUAGAAACGGAACCAAAGCACGCUCAACGGUUGUGUCUUCUGUCUCUGUCGCUCUAUCUCCCGCUCAGUGUAUGUGCGUACGCGUGUGCCCCUGUGUGAGUGGAGUGCUGUGCAUGUGUGCGUGAGUGCCUAACAAUUAAUUUGCAUUUAAAUCGCACGUUAAUCUGCGAUCCAAUCAAAGGCCAAACAGAAAAAGAAAGAGAGAGAGAGAGAGAUAGAAAAAUAGAAAAAACAACAAAUUCUGCAGAAUUGCCAACACGCAAAACAAAAGGAGAGAAAAAACAACAUAAACCCCAAGUAAAUACGCAUAAAAAAGGAUUUGCCAAAAAGAAUUAACAAAAUCAACAAAAUGUUGGCCUGCUUGCAUUUGCUCUACGUGGCGUUCUACGUCCUCGGCUCUCUAAUAGGUAAGUGAGAUAAAUAU